rnacentral:misc_RNA from 1 species
GAUGAAGAACGCAGCGAAAUGCGAUACGUAAUGUGAAUUGCAGAAUUCAGUGAAUCAUCGAAUCUUUGAACGCAUAUUGCGCUCUCUGGUAUUCCGGAGAGCAUGCUUGUUUGAGUAUCAGUAAACACCUCAACUCCCUUUUCUUUUUUGAAAUGGGAGCUGGACUUGAGUGAUCCCAACACUUUUCUCACUGGAAAGUGGCGGGUCACUUGAAAUGCAGGUGCAGCUGGACUUUUCUCUGAGCUAUAAGCAUAUCUAUUUAGUCUGCCUAAAAAACAGAUUAUUACCUUUGCUGCAGCUAACAUAAAGGAGAUGAGUUCUUGUGCUGACUGAUGCAGGAUUCACAGAGACAGCUUUGCGGCUGACUUUGUAAACUCGAUCUCAAAUCAAGUAAGACUACCCGCUGAACUUAAGCAUAUCAAAAGCGGAGGA